CUAAACGUCGUCAGAUGACACUUUACGCUAUUUAGCAUAUUCAUGACGCCAUCGCGUCGUACUUGCAUUCUGUCUAGUCUAGUGUUCCUAACAUCGCUUUUGUUCGUUUUCUUUAUCUUCAUCAGUGUGCUCAAAUCUGCGUUUUACAGUGAUACACCAGACGACGGAAUGAGAAAUGACUGAACGCGACCCAUUUACUGAAAGACGCAGAGUGCCAGCUCAGCAGUUUCAAGGUCAGAAGAUGCAGUCAUAGCCUAAAAACAUCAGAGGCGCUCUAGAAAAACGUGUCCCACUUCCGAACAGCCCAUAUUGGUGUAAGUGCCGUCUGUGUUCAGAAGUCCAGAGUGUCGUGCUGAUAUCGCAGUCGUGGGCUGUUCUCACUGUAGAACUGACUGAACCAGCGUCUGUGUUUCUGUAUGGCCGAGUCUUCCUUCACAAGCAUUGGAUUAGAGAUGUACGUCUUGUUGUUCCAGAUCAUCACAUCUCGUUCAAACUGUUACAGAAAAACAACCACUGUUUUAAACCUGCAUCUUUUGGUCUUGCUGUUGGUGUAGCGGAGAUCAACGCCACUGACGAUUCCUGGAGUGUGGAGAUGAGCCAGAUGUGCAAUAUCUGCGGCAUUUUCUGGAAUUUCCUGAGAAAAGGACAUUGAAAGUCUACAUCUGUAAGACAACUCUCUUUGUUUAUUAUGCUGACCUGAGGAGUUUUAUUAGCCUGCAAUGCAGCGUCUCAGAUGACAAAAUCACAUAAAGACAGUGGAAACAACAAAAGCUUUAUGGUAGAGAAAGGGUAACGGCUUGUCCGAAGUGUUCAUGAGCGCCGUGAAUACGGGAUGAUGCGACGCUUGAUUGACAUCCGCGAUGCCACGCCCACACACGUCAGGUGGUAAAGCGAUGCAGCAGAUUUUGAACGAGCACUUUUACCUCAUGGGCAAAGUGCAUUGUUAUUUAAACAUUUGAUUGUUUGUUAUAAAAGGAAAACAAAUAUUUGAUGUUGAACAAUUUAUGGAGGGGUAUUGGCACUUUGCACAUAGUGCUAAUAUACAGUACAGUAGGCUACUGGUAAAAAAUGUAGGGUUACACACAGUAAUUUAAACCAACUGCUGG